rfam:Acyrthosiphon pisum strain LSR1 Contig489, whole genome shotgun sequence.
AGAUCAAAACCGGCCCGUCGCGGCGCGCUUCGUGCGCGUCCCGAUCGCGGCCCGCGCAAAGACCUGGUGACUCUGAAUAACUUCGAGCUGAUCGCACGGUCUCCGUACCGGCGACGCAUCUUUCAAAUGUCUGCCUUAUCAACUGUCGAUGGUAGGUUCCAUGCCUACCAUGGUGGUAACGGGUAACGGGGAAUCAGGGUUCGAUUCCGGAGAGGGAGCCUGAGAAACGGCUACCACAUCCAAGGAAGGCAGCAGGCGCGCAAAUUACCCACUCCCGGAACGGGGAGGUAGUGACGAAAAAUAACGAUACGGGACUCAUCCGAGGCCCCGUAAUCGGAAUGAGAACACUUUAAAACCUUUAAACGAGGAUCAAUUGGAGGGCAAGUCUGGUGCCAGCAGCCGCGGUAAUUCCAGCUCCAAUAGCGUAUAUUAAAGUUGUUGCGGUUAAAAAGCUCGUAUUCGGAUCUGUGUCUGGACGGUGCCGGACCACCCUGGCGGUCCGUCGUGUCGCGGCCGGCCGUGUCGCGGGACCACGUGUCCCGUCGGCGCGGUCGCCGUCGCGCUCGUCAGCCGUCUCGGGGUGUUAGUUACCGGCACGUCGGCCGGGACGUAUUGUCGGCAGGGCGGACACGUGUCUCGUGCUUCCGGCGCGCCGCGCGGCCACGCGUCGCGCGGCCGUCGGUGUUCGACGACGGCGGCCGCCUACUCCAAUCUUGCUGCGCGGUGCUCUUCACCGAGUGCCGUCGGCGGGCCGACACGUUUACUUUGAACAAAUUAGAGUGCUCAAAGCAGGCUCGAAUCUGGCGGGGCGGCUUCACGGCCGUCUCGUCAAAAGGCCCUGAAUACUGGUCGCAUGGAAUAAUGGAACAAGACCUCGGUCCCGCGCAUCUCCGCCCUUCGCGGGCGCGCGAAAUCGCCCUCCGGGGCGUUUCCGUGCGCGGGCCGCCGGGCCGCGGGCGCCAGUCGCCCGCGCGUCCCGCCGGGCCGGUUUUCGGGACCGGAGGUAAUGAUCAACAGAGACGGGCGGGGGCAUUCGUACCGAGACGUUAGAGGUGAAAUUCUUGGAUCGUCUCGAGACGAACUGACGCGAAAGCAUUUGCCAAGUACGUUCUCGUAUGAUCAAGAACGAAAGUUAGAGGUUCGAAGGCGAUCAGAUACCGCCCUAGUUCUAACUGUAAACGAUGCCAGCUAGCGAUCCGCCGGCGUUUCAUUAACGACCCGGCGGGCAGCUUCCGGGAAACCGAAGCUUUUCGGUCCGGGGGAAGUAUGAUUGCAAAGUUGAACUUAAAGGAAUUGACGGAAAGGCACCACCAGGAGUGGAGCCUGCGGCUUAAUUUGACUCAACACGGGAAACCUCACCAGGCCCGGACACGGAAAGAUUGACAGAUUGAGAGCUCUUUCUUGAU